AUGCGUCACUCACUCCAGACAGCAGUCGUUACAGUGGGAGAAGUAUCUGAUCUCCUGUUACAGUCACAACAGAGAAUAAUGUUCAGUGAUCAGAAAACUUUUGUCAUUCAUCAUUACAUCAUAACCUUAUACACACUUCACAAUAUCUACUGUAACUAUGCAGAUUUCAUAGUCUGGAGUAUUUGGUGUACAGUUUGUGAACACUGUACAUUGUUACAAGAUAGAUUGUAUUACAGAAAAUAUUUGGUGAUGUUCGUCGCCGUAGAAUGUGUUCUUUUUGGUUUAGAUAAUUCAUAAUUAAAAAUAACCAGGAAUUGUAAAAUAGAAGCUUGUCUUGUUUCUAAGAAUUUUAGAGUUGACUUUGUGUGUUCUGUUGUUCUUUGGAAAAAUACUGAAAUAUGUACUGUUCUUUGUUUGUUAGUUAACUCUGGCUGGGCAAACUUUACUGUAAUUUUACUCUGGAGCACAUUAACACUUUUAAAACGCUUGACAUGAACGUGUAAAUUUGCACUUGAAGGGCUGCUUAAGAGACAGACCCUGCAUUCCAUUUGGGAGGGCUUAUCCCUAUACCCUAAUCCCUUCAAAGGGUUUACCCUCCAGAGUGAGAGCUUUGAAGGGAUGAAGGGUGUAGGUGUCAAAAAAAGUGCACUUCUGCAUCAUCAUAAUGAGACGAUCAAGGAGGCGUCUUUGACACACAUUUUGUACACUAGUUGACCCCCAAAAAACACACUGAGAACGAUGAGUAGAUGCAGAUGAGUAGUGCAAGCUGCACUUUUGUUUAAUGUUUAUUGAUUGAUUGAUUGAUUGAUUAAUUGAUUGAUUUUUGGUUUAUUGCAACAAGGCUGGUUUUAAAUGGAUACAUUUUGCCUAUACAUAAUUCAUGCCAUGUAGUUCAAAAUUAUUUCUUUCUCAUGCACAUUUUGUCAUGCAUAUUUAAUAAACUUAUUUGUUUUUUAUUGGCCUAAUGUAUUCAUUUCUUUUGCCAAGAGUCCGC
ensembl:lncRNA